rnacentral:lncRNA from 1 species
CCACUUGACAUAUACAACUCAGAAAUAAAAUGCGGAAGUCUACAAUCUCAUGCCAAAACACAAAAUCUCAUGGGAACCACAUGCUAAUAGAAAGGUAAUAUACUGCUCUAACUCUAGAAUGUCUAAACAACUGAAACAUAAGGAUAGAAUAACUACUAAAGCUGGAACAGAAUAGAAACUCCUGGUCCGCGGUUGCGGCAGAUGUACCUCGAAGUCUUUGCUAUAUCUCUCCGCCUCGAGGGUAGUACGCCUGAGUGGAGGUACCUGGAUCUGCACAUGAAAAAUAUGCGUAGAAGAGGCAUGAGUACACUAUACCGGUACUCAGUAAGUGCCAAACCUAACCUCGAUCGGGUAGUAACAAGGAAGGUCAGGGCCCUACUGAAGAGAAACUCAGUAAGUGCCAAGUUUAGCCUCAGUCGGGUAGUGACGAGGAAAGCCAUGGUCCUACUAAGAUUAAACAAUAUAAUAAGAAUGAUGAAUCUUAGUAGUCCAUUUCUCAAGAUACCGUCAUGUAGUCCAUUUCCAUGCCAAUACCAACAACGAGGAAUUCCCAGUAUACCAUCAUGUAGUCCAUUUACAUAUCAAUACCAAUAACGAGGAUCUCCCAGGAUACCGUCCUGUAGUCCAUUUCUAUAUCAAUACCAAUAACGAGGAUCUCCAAAGAUACCGUCCUGUAGUCUGAAAUAUAAAUAUGCAGGGGGAUCUCCCGGGAAUCUAACCCGUAGUCUCAAAUAGAAAUAUGCAGAGGGAUCUCCCGGGAAUCUAACCCGUAGUCCCAAUAUAAAUAUGCAGGGGGAUCUCCCGGGAAUCUAACCCGUAAUCCCAAUAUAAAUGCGCAACCACAAUCAGAGAACAUUCAUAAAUGAAGUACAACAAUACUAACAACACAUAGUUCUAACCUAACAUGUCUCACGUAGUGCAGCUAAGGCAAUUAAACAAGUAGGCAAGUUAAAUCAACUAAACAUGUCUUUCUAAUCUAACACAUGUUAUAAUUGCAAGUAACAUAAAGUAAAUACGAAAGGAACUCAGUCACAAUAUUUUAACUAAAAAAAAAAGAAAUCGAAUUUUUCAACGAUUAGCUCGAGUACGCGCUCUUCAUCUCACGUACAAGGCACUCAAUUACCAAAUAACAUAUCCUAGGGGAAAUGUCCCCCACACAAGGUUGGACAAGCCACUUACCUCGAACCAGCUCAAUAUCAACUAGAAACCAUGCCUUUUCCACGAGUAUCCGACUCCAAAUGGAUAAAAUCUAUUCAUUGUAAUUACAUAUCGACAAACCAUUUGCCUCAAACCGACUCCAAAUUCAACUUGAAAUCAUACUUUUGCCACGAACAUCUGACUCCAAAUGGCCCAAAUCUAUUCAAUUCAAUUACAUAUCGUAAAUAACAUCUCAAGUAAUAGAUUCUACUAUUUAAUCAAAGAUAAGACGCGAAAUUAGGUAAAAUAACCAAAACGGCCCUCAGGCCAACGUCUCAGAAUUAGAUAAAUUUUAUAUUUUCAGAACCCUCGUACUCUCACAAGUCUAACCAUAGAAAUAUCUCCCAAAUCGGAGGUCAAACACCCACUCAAAACUCAAUAGUUUUGGCCUAUGAAACUUUAUCCAAAUUUCUCCAAUUUUUGAUCCUCAAUUCGAAUUUUAAUAAAGGAUUUAACUAUAUAUUAAUGGAAUAUACCUAAAAAGGAUUAAGAAAAUGUUACCAAUGAUCUUCUCUUCAAAACCCUCUCAAAAUCGUCCUCUCCCGAGCUCAAUUUGAUUUUUCUAGCUUUUGAAAACUAACCCUCGAAAUCUCUAUUUCUGAACAAGGAUUUCCGCUUCUGCAGACAAGGGACCGCUUCUGCAGUCUCGCUAUGCAAAACAUAAGUCGCUUCUGCGACAUUCACUAAGGACCCAAGAUUCCGCUUCUACGGUGCUUUCAUUCAGAAGCGAUUCAGCUUCUGUGGAAUUCCCAUCGCUUCUGUGGAGCCUGGCAGAUAUGCCCAAGCUAGCUUCUGCGAUUCCAAGGCCGCAUCUGCGGAACCUGAGCUGCAGAUGCGAAAAAUACUAGAAGCAGAAAUGCUUCAAUUGCUGCAACACUUCUCUGAUCUUCCCGUCAACCAUUCGAAAUCAUCCCGAUGUCCCCGGGACCUCAACCAAGAGUACCAACAACACCUUAUACCUCAUUCAAACUUGUACCAAUCCUUAUACCACCUAAUACAAAACGGAAAGCCUAAGAACUUCAAAUUUCAUUAAAACACGAUUUCGAUAAAAAACCUAACCAAAACACGUCUGAAUGACCUGAAAUUUUGUAAACACAUCCCAAAUGACAUGACAGAGCCUAAAUAAGCUACGGACUUCCAAAAUUCAUUCCGAAUACACUCCCAACCCCGAAAUCACCUAACGGAGCUAACAGAACCAUUGGAUUUCCAUUCCGAGGUCGUCUUCACACUGUUCCGACUACGUGCCACUUUCCAACACUUAAGCUUUCAUUUAAGGACUAAGUGUCCCAAAAAAUCUCCGAAACCUAGCACCGAACGUCUCGACAAAUCAAAAUAGCAAAAAUAACUUAGGGAAAACAGUUAAUGGGGGAUCGGGGCGUAAAUUCCAAAAACGACCGGCCGGGUCGUCACACAAAGCUUAGAAGAAAUGCUAGCGGAACAUGCGCAGGAUGUUGCUUCGCCCGGAAGCGGUGAUGAACAAGCCUCUUUUCCACCACCGCCAACGAAAAUUCCUCCGAACCUUCAAGGAUUUAUGAGAUUUGUUAGAGAUAAUACGUAGACUAAUAUGUAACUUGUAUUUUGGCACAUCUUCCUUAGUUUUUUUUUCUUUUAAUGGUAGUAUUAAUACAUUGUUAUGCUCAUUCAUUGGGAGGAGGAAGACUAAGAACGAUAUUGUCAUUCUUUGUUAAUGUCGUAAUAAUAAAAAUUAUAAGACAUUCCCUUGAAUAUUUUUUUGUAAUUUAUUUUGUGUUUAUACAUUUUAGGGGUAAAGUUUACGUUUAACACUAUCCUCUCCAAAGCUCGUGGGGAUGUGUUGUUGUUGAUAUGUUUUUUAGGUGCUAUAUAGAAUUUGGUAGCAGUGAAUGUUAUGAACUCUUAUUUUAUAAGUGAUUAAAAACAGAAAAUAGAUGAACAGAAAUUGAUAGUAUUAUGUCUCGAGCUCACAAAUUCCUAGUGUGUCUUUAAAAAAUCUUAUCCCUUCUCUGUUGCCCAAGGUUAACGGAUAAAUUGUUCCCAGGAUAGAACGGAAUUUCUAACCUAACGGUAUCGACACUUCAAACCACUAAGUUAUCAGCGAACUCAAAAUAAUGGUGCAAAUCACACUACCGACUUACUUUGUUUUGAAAGAAUACCUUAUAUAGAUAUACUAUACAAACGAUAUAUAUUUAUAUAACUAUAUAUAAGCAAUUUAUAUUAGUAUAUACAUAUAUACUUUACAAGAAAUUGCCUUAGAAUUUUUCUUUUUAAAAAAUCCGAAACGAAAAAAGCCCGUUAGGUCUGUUUCGGCCUGUGGGUCCGGCCCAUUAAUUCCGGAAUCAUAUGGGCUUAGGCCCAUGAAGAGUAGGUUCCACCCAUUGAGACCGUAAAGACCGGAACCGUUUGGUUCGAACCCGCCAAAGCUUGAGCACACUAAAGCCCAGGCCCGUUUAACCCGUUUAGACCCAAAUUCGCCCGGAAUACAUCCAUAUACAGCACAAAUGAGGCUGACAAUAUGGGCCCCGAGAACGGCUAAGAAGUUUCUUUUAUUUAAACUUGGUGAUGUCAAUUGUGGUAGUACUCUACAAAAGGAGUAGCAUACAUAUUUUAGGUAGUCCACAAAGACCAUUCUGCUUUACCUAGUGCACUCGCACUUCUAAUAUAUUAAAAUAAAAUACCAUUAAGCUACACAAAUAUCGUAAAUAUAAAAUUUAAAUACUUUAAUAAAUAAACGUAAAAAAUUUGUGAAGCAGAACUAUAAGUCAACGGAUAAGCACCUGGAAGAAAGAGAAAAACAGCCGGUGUCAACUGUCGUGUCCGGCGGCAUCUCCACCUGUCACCACCGGCUGAAAUGAGCAAAAACCACCGUCAUCAACCACUGCGUCAGCUGGCCACUCCAUCGGCAACUAACGCUUAAGCUGCCGGAAGUAGAAAAAAAAUGUCCAUUUUGCACUCGCCAUCUCUCAUUUUCAACACUAGAACCACCAUUAAACCCUACUAUCUCACUUCAUUUCCUCCAUAUUCUUCAAUCUCGAACUUUAGAUUUACAAAAUUUACAAUUCAUUCAUCCUUUUCAUUAUUUAGUGAUCCUCAAGAUUUUUUUGUACCAAAAUCUCCGGGCAAUAAACCCAAACAAGACGACAGCAAUUCUGAUGAUAAACAAAUCUCAUUUGUUGACGAGUGGGGAGAGAGGUCGGAACCGGAUACCCGACCCGUAACGAAGUUAUCAGAAUCGGAUCCUCCUAUAAAUGAUGACGAAUGGGGCAGAGGAG